GGGGAUGUAGCUCAGCGGGAGAGCACCUGCCUUGCACGCAGGGGGCCGGCGGUUCAAAUCCGCUCAUCUCCACCA
rnacentral:tRNA from 1 species